AUUGAACGCUGGCGGCAGGCCUAACACAUGCAAGUCGAGCGAGCGGCGGACGGGUGAGUAAUGUCUGGGAAACUGCCCGAUAGAGGGGGAUAACUACUGGAAACGGUAGCUAAUACCGCAUACUAUCGGAUGAACCCAUAUGGGAUUAGCUAGUAGGUUGGGUAAAGGCCCACCUAGGCGACGAUCUCUAGCUGGUCUGAUAGGAUGCUCAGCCACUCUGGAACUGAGACUCGGUCCAGACUCCUCCGUGAGGCAGCAGUGGGGAAUAUUGCACAAUGGGCGCAAGCAUGAUGCAGCCAUGCCGCGUGUAUUAAGAAGGCCUUAGGGUUGUAAAGUACUUUCAGCGGGGAGGCGUUACUCGCAGAAGAAGCACCGGCUAACUCCGUGCCAGCAGCCGCGGUAAUAC
rnacentral:rRNA from 1 species